rnacentral:lncRNA from 1 species
UACUGUUUUAGUUAGGGCUUGUUGAAUUUGCGUUGCUUCGGUUUGUGUCGAGUUGCUGGUCUUAGUGUCUAGUCCUUUAGAGUUUCGAGUUCUUGUCACCAUCUAUACACAGCCGAGUAUUACCAUAUCUUCUCUCUGUCGAAUCUGUUGCGAAGUCUGAAUUGAACUGUGGUCUUGGUCCGGAUCGAGUAGAGUUCCAAUCUGAGUUCAAAAAGAAAGAUAACUCUACUUGUUCGGCCUUACUCUAGAGAGAGAGAGAGAGAGUGUGGAGCGAAAAAAGUGUGUGGAGCGAAUUGCUCUUUUGUAUUCUUUUGUUCAUAUAAUCAAUUUUUGAGGUUGCCCAAAAAAAAAGAAAAAAAAAACAAAAGAGAAAAGAUUCAAAAAAAGGGGCUGUUUUUCAUAUUGAUUUUAGGUUUGUCCCACCUUGUUUUCGGGGGUGUGCUGUGGUUUUCCUUUGUGUCCAGGCUCGCGUCUCUAGCACGGUCUAGCCUAGGACCAGCACAGUACCAUCAUCGAACGCUUAUUCAGCUCGCUUUUAUAACUAACGUGGUGCUAGUUCGUUCCUUGUUUCAGCCCACCUAUAGCUCCAC